CAGCACCUCAAGUGGUCAGGAUGAUUAUUGGGCCUAAAGCGUCCGUAGCCGGUUUGAUAAAUCUUUUGUGAAAUUGUUAGGCUCAACUUAACAACGUGCAGAAGAGACUGUCGAACUUGGGACUAGAGAGGGGUUAGAAGUAUUUCUAGGGGAGCGGUAAAAUGUUAUAAUCCUAGAAAGACUACCUGUGGCGAAGGCGUCUAACCAGAAUAGAUCCGACGGUGAGGGACGAAAGCUAGGGGAGCGAUCCGGAUUAGAUACCCGAGUAGUCC
rnacentral:rRNA from 1 species